AGCAACACCGCGUGAGUGAAGAAGGGUUUCGGCUCGUAAAACUCUGUUGUUGGAGAAGAACGUGCGUAAGAGUAACUGUUUACGCAGUGACGGUAUCCAACCAGAAAGUCACGGCUAACUACGUGCCAGCAGCCGCGGUAAUACGUAGGUGGCAAGCGUUAUCCGGAUUUAUUGGGCGUAAAGCGAGCGCAGGCGGUUGCUUAGGUCUGAUGUGAAAGCCUUCGGCUUAACCGAAGAAGUGCAUCGGAAACCGGGCGACU
rnacentral:rRNA from 1 species